UACGGAGGUUCCUAGCGUUGUUCGGAAUUACUGGGCGUAAAGGGAGCGCAGGCGGAUCGAUAAGUCUAAAGUGGAAUCCCGGGGCUCAACCUCGGACGUGCUUUGGAUACUGUCGGUCUUGAGUUCGUGAGAGGAAGGCGGAAUUCAGGGUGUAGCGGUGAAAUGCUUAGAUAUCCUGAGGAACACCAGUGGCGAAAGCGGCCUUCUGGCACGAAACUGACGCUGAGGCUCGAAAGCGUGGGUAGCGAACGGG
rnacentral:rRNA from 1 species